rnacentral:rRNA from 1 species
UACGUAGGGGGCAAGCGUUGUCCGGAAUCAUUGGGCGUAAAGAGCGUGUAGGCGGCUUGGUAAGUCCGCUGUGAAAGUCCAGGGCUCAACCCUGGAAUGCCGGUGGAAACUGUCAGGCUCGAGUCCGGAAGAGGCGAGUGGAAUUCCUGGUGUAGCGGUGAAAUGCACAGAUAUCAGGAGGAACACCAAUGGCGAAGGCAGCUCGCUGGGACGGUACUGACGCUGAGACGCGAAAGCGUGGGGAGCAAACAGG